GGUCAAGUUAAAAAGAGCACUAGGUGAAUGCCUAGGCACCAAGAGGCGAAGAAGGACGUGACAAGCUGCGAAAAGCUACGGUAAGGAGCAAAUAUCUUAUGACCCGUAGAUAUCCCAAUGGGGAAACCCACCUCAAUAGAGGUAUCCUAUAGCCAAUUCAUAACUAUAGGAAGCGAACCAGGUGAACUGAAACAUCUAAGUAACCUGAGGAAAAGAAAGAAAACUCGAUUCCCUAAGUAGCGGCGAGCGAACGGGGAAGAGCCCGAAAGUGAAGACGGGGAAAAUAUCUAGCCGAAUAAUCUGGGAAGAGUAACCAAAGAAGGUAACAGUCCUGUAGGCGAAAGAGAAGAUACCUAUCACGAAAGAGUACCACGGAACACGAGAAAUUCUGUGGG
rnacentral:rRNA from 1 species